GCACUGCUGACGAGUCCCAAAAUAGGACGAAACGGCCGUCCAGUGC
rnacentral:hammerhead_ribozyme from 1 species